AUUGAACGCUGGCGGCAUGCUUUACACAUGCAAGUCGAACGGUAACAGGCCGCAAGGUGCUGACGAGUGGCGAACGGGUGAGUAAUGCAUCGGAACGUGCCCAGUCGUGGGGGAUAACGCAGCGAAAGCUGUGCUAAUACCGCAUACGAUCUAUGGAUGAAAGCGGGGGACCGUAAGGCCUCGCGCGAUUGGAGCGGCCGAUGUCAGAUUAGGUAGUUGGUGGGGUAAAGGCUCACCAAGCCAACGAUCUGUAGCUGGUCUGAGAGGACGACCGGCCCCACUGGGACUGAGAAACGGCCCAGACUCCGACGGGAGGCAGCAGUGGGGAAUUUUGGACAAUGGGCGCAAGCCUGAUCCAGCAAUGCCGCGUGCAGGAAGAAGGCCUUCGGGUUGUAAACUGCUUUUGUACGGAACGAAAAGGUUUGGGUUAAUACCCUGGGCCGAUGACGGUACCGUAAGAAUAAGCACCGGCUAACUACGUGCCAGCCGCCGCCGUAA
rnacentral:rRNA from 1 species